rnacentral:rRNA from 1 species
AUGCGCUCCGUCUGGCGGCAGCGCCCGCGCGCAAGCGGCGUCGCCUCCCCCCGUUCUUCGGCGCCCCUGCAGCAACUGAGACACUUAGUACUAGUAGGACAGUUUAAUCUGGAUUCUGAAGCAAUGAGUACCUGUGAAAAGGCCGGAGCGGAAGCUACAUCUGUUGUGAGUUCAGACAGAGUAAGCAGUCUACCUCCAGAGAUAAAGGGUGAUAUCCUUUCUCGUUUGCUUGUCGAAGAAGCGGUUAGGACUAGCAUCUUAUCAAGUACUUGGAGGAAUGCAUGGACUGAUAUGCCAAGAGUAUUUCUGCAAGAUGGAAAGCUUGCACAAACCAAGUUUGUUACGUUGGUCGAUAUGGUGCUAGCACUCCACAAGGGAACCAUAGAAGAGUUUAAUAUAUCAGGUAACAAAAGUUACCAUUAUGAGUUUGCUAGGUGGAUGCUCAUGCUGUCAAGGAGAUCACCAAGAUCAAUUAUAAUCAAGUUGAACUCAUUGCCGGAGUAUAGGAUUCCCUCAUGCCUAUUUUCUAUCGGCAAUUUGAAGAUUCUGCACAUGGAAAACUGCACCAUCUUGUUGCCCCGGGUAUUCCAAGGUUUCAAGAGACUAACUCACCUCAGCCUGAAACUUUUCUCCUCCACGGACAUGGACAUCCAAAAUCUGAUCUCGUUCUGCCCCGUACUGACUGAUUUGAGAUUAGUUCGUUUUGAGGGCAUCAGGUGUCUAAACAUUCAAGCUCCUAAACUGGAAUAUCUUGAAGUUGUUGGGGGCUUUGAAGACAUUAAUUUGGAUGCCCCUAAUCUAGAAUGGGCCGUUCUCACUCUUAAUCCCAAAGCUAAAGCAUAUCAAUCUGUUCCAAUUGCUCAUGACACGAAAAACUAUGUCAAGAAGUCAUUGGGAAGCGUAAGUGACAUAAAACAACUUGCAUUUUUUGGCUUUUUCCUGAAGCAUCUAUCAAAAGGGUGCAUACCUAUGAAGCUCCCUGCCGUGUUUACUCGCUUGGAGCAUAUUUAUCUUACGAUUUGGGACCAGAGGCAAGUCUUGGCCGCUUGUUCAUUGUUUCAGAAUGCCCCUAACCUAAAGAGGCUUAACAUGCGGAGUCGCUUUCCGGGCCCAUGGUAUCAGGAUCAGGUGAGCAUUCAAGAGCUUACCGUGCAAUUGCAAAUGGACCAUCUCGUAACGGCCAGUAUGGAAGGUUUUGCGGGUCUUGACUAUGAAGUUGAUUUCGUGGCAAAGCUACUGAGCUGGGCACCAGCUUUGGAAGAAUUGGAGAUAGAAUGGGAGGGCGAAACAGACUGCAGCAGGGUUCUUGCGAAGCUAUUAGCUCUGCCGAGGGUAUCUCCCAGGGCCAAGGUCAUUGUUACAUUUUGA